UGAGGAAUAUUGGACAAUGGAGGCAACUCUGAUCCAGCCAUGCCGCGUGAAGGAUGACUGCCCUAUGGGUUGUAAACUUCUUUUAUACAGGAAGAAACAGUUUCUUGCGAGAGGCCUUGACGGUACUGUAUGAAUAAGCACCGGCUAACUCCGUGCCAGCAGCCGCGGUAAUACGGAGGGUGCAAGCGUUAUCCGGAAUCAUUGGGUUUAAAGGGUCCGUAGGCGGGCUGAUAAGUCAGAGGUGAAAUCCCAUAGCUUAACUAUGGAACUGCCUUUGAUACUGUUAGUCUUGAGUUACUUGGAAGUAGAUAGAAUGUGUAGUGUAGCGGUGAAAUGCAUAGAUAUUACACAGAAUACCGAUUGCGAAGGCAGUCUACUACGAGUAUACUGACGCUGAUGGACGAAAGCGUGGGGAGCGAACAGG
rnacentral:rRNA from 1 species